rnacentral:rRNA from 1 species
UCCAGACUCCUACGGGAGGCAGCAGUGAGGAAUAUUGGUCAAUGGGCGAGAGCCUGAACCAGCCAAGUCGCGUGAGGGAGUACUGCCCUAUGGGUUGUAAACCUCUUUUGUCGGGGAGCAAAAGCCGGACGUGUCCGGCUGUGAGAGUACCCGAAGAAAAAGCAUCGGCUAACUCCGUGCCAGCAGCCGCGGUAAUACGGAGGAUGCGAGCGUUAUCCGGAUUUAUUGGGUUUAAAGGGUGCGCAGGCGGAUUUUUAAGUCAGCGGUCAAAUCGUGGGGCUCAACCCCAUCCAGCCGUUGAAACUGGCAGUCUCGAGUUGGAGAGAAGUAUGCGGAAUGCGCGGUGUAGCGGUGAAAUGCUUAGAUAUCGCGCAGAACCCCGAUUGCGAAGGCAGCGUACCGGCUCCACACUGACGCUGAGGCACGAAAGCGUGGGUAUCGAACAGGAUUAGAUACCCUUGUAAU